CCAUGCCCAUAUAUUUUAAGCACCUAGCAACUAGGGAAGUGCAGUUUGAUUCAUGCAUGAAUUGAUUUGUAACACAUCAGUGAUGAUUCACAGAUGCAACUGCAAAUUGAAUUGCUCCUUAAUUGAAGGUGCUGAUUAGAGGUCAAAUUGAAUCAGCCAUGAUUUGCUGCAGAUCAAUACAUUUUAAUGUGAUUGGCCAUCUUGGUGGGCUUUCCCCCCUUGCUGAUUGGUUUCCUGGCAAUGGCUUCCAAUUGGCUUGAUAUCUCCUUGCUUCAACAACCUUGCUGGCUUGUUGUCAUUCAAAUCAAGUGCUGGCAUGGGCAACUGUGCUCUCAUUGGCUGGGAGGAGGGAGCAGGGCGGGUUAACACUUUUGGAGGGAAUUUCGAAAUGUAUUCAAAGUGACUAGGAGGAAGAGAGAGAGAGACCUUUUGAAGAAGAGGAUAUAUGCUGACAGGAGGAAGGAAAAACAACAGCAAGCAUACAGUGUAGACAUAAGCUCUACCUCAGCAUCUUCUUUAGCCACUUUUUGACUGGUUAACCCAAGAAGUCAGUGAUGAGGAAUUCUGCAAAUUCUUAGGAGGCUUCUGUUUCGUGUUAGGACUUGGUGAUUGUGAAUCUCCUGGGUUCAUUUAUGGAAGCUGUGAUUCUUGGCGUCUUUGCUGUGUAUAUCCAGCACCGUCAAGCUGAUGGAGCCCCAGAAUCCUUCUGAAUUGGAAGAUUGUUCUUGGUCUUCAACAAACACCUGAUCCUCCUUCAGUGCUAGCUGUGUGCUCCAUUUGCUCCUGCUCUAAAAAUCUAUUCUUCAAAAAAGAACCUCUUUGCGCUUUUUGUUGAUUCUCCCUCAACU